rnacentral:snRNA from 1 species
UCUCAGCUCCAUCAUCCGAGUUG